ACCUGGGGAGUACGUCCGCAAGGAUGAAACUCAAAGGAAUUGACGGGGGCCCGCACAAGCGGUGGAUUAUGUGGUUUAAUUCGAUGAUACGCGAGGAACCUUACCAAGACUUAAAUGGGAAUUGACAGAUUUAGAAAUAGAUCCUCCUUCGGGCAAUUUUCAAGGUGCUGCAUGGUUGUCGUCAGCUCGUGCCGUGAGGUGUUAGGUUAAGUCCUGCAACGAGCGCAACCCCUGUCACUAGUUGCUAACAUUCAGUUGAGGACUCUAGUGAGACUGCCUACGCAAGUAGAGAGGAAGGUGGGGAUGACGUCAAAUCAUCACGGCCCUUACGUCUUGGGCCACACACGUAAUACAAUGGCCGGUACAGAGGGCAGCUACACAGCGAUGUGAUGCAAAUCUCGAAAGCCGGUCUCAGUUCGGAUUGGAGUCUGCAACUCGACUCUAUGAAGCUGGAAUCGCUAGUAAUCGCGCAUCAGCCAUGGCGCGGUGAAUACGUUCCCGGGCCUUGUACACACCGCCCGUCAAGCCAUGGAAGUUUGGGGUACCUGAAGUCGGUGACCGUAAAAGGAGCUGCCUAGGGUAAAACAAGUAACUAGGGCU
rnacentral:rRNA from 1 species